rnacentral:rRNA from 1 species
AUUGAACGCUGGCGGCAUGCCUUACACAUGCAAGUCGAACGGCAGCACGGGUGCUUGCACCUGGUGGCGAGUGGCGAACGGGUGAGUAAUACAUCGGAACAUGUCCUGUAGUGGGGGAUAGCCCGGCGAAAGCCGGAGUAAUACCGCAUACGAUCUACGGAUGAAAGCGGGGGACCUUCGGGCCUCGCGCUAUAGGGUUGGCCGAUGGCUGAUUAGCGAGUUGGUGGGGUAAAGGCCUACCAAGGCGACGAUCAGUAGCCGGUCUGAGAGGACGACCAGCCACACUGGAACUGAGACACGGCCCAGACUCCUACGGGAGGCAGCAGUGGGGAAUUUUGGACAAUGGGCGAAAGCCUGAUCCAGCAAUGCCGCGUGUGUGAAGAAGGCCUUCGGGUUGUAAAGCACUUUUGUCCGGAAAGAAAUCCUUGGCCCUAAUACGGUCGGGGGAUGACGGUACCGGAAGAAUAAGCACCGGCUAACUACGUG